UAUAUACUCCCUCCGUCCUAAAAUUUCUGUCUUAGAUUUGUUUAGAUAUGAAUAUAUCUAAUCACAUUUUAAUAUUUAAAUACAUUCAUUUUUAGACAAAGCUAAGACAAGAAUUUCGGGACAGAGGAAGUACUUA
rfam:Hordeum vulgare subsp. vulgare, WGS project CAJW01000000 data, contig: morex_contig_42771